GACGAACGCUGGCGGCGUGCUUAACACAUGCAAGUCGAACGAAGAGCGAUGGAAGCUUGCUUCUAUCAAUCUUAGUGGCGAACGGGUGAGUAACGCGUAAUCAACCUGCCCUUCAGAGGGGGACAACAGUUGGAAACGACUGCUAAUACCGCAUACGAUCUAAUCUCGGCAUCGAGGAUAGAUGAAAGGUGGCCUCUACAUGUAAGCUAUCACUGAAGGAGGGGAUUGCGUCUGAUUAGCUAGUGGGAGGGGUAACGGCCCACCAAGGCGAUGAUCAGUAGCCGGUCUGAGAGGAUGAACGGCCACAUUGGGACUGAGACACGGCCCAGACUCCUACGGGAGGCAGCAGUGGGGAAUCUUCCGCAAUGGACGAAAGUCUGACGGAGCAACGCCGCGUGAGUGAUGACGGCCUUCGGGUUGUAAAGCUCUGUUAAUCGGGACGAAAGGCCUUCUUGCGAAUAGUGAGAAGGAUUGACGGUACCGGAAUAGAAAGCCACGGCUAACUACGUG
rnacentral:rRNA from 1 species